rnacentral:lncRNA from 1 species
UGACAAAGUUCACAAGAAAUAAUAAAUCAGAGCAAUUGGGUUUUCAAUAUGAUAAUUAUUAACUCAAUUGAUAGGCAUUUUAUAGCCUUUACAUAAACUGAUAGAACGAAGAAUAAGCUAAAGAAAUAAUACAGCAGAAGAAUAAAACUAAGAAUAAGAUCUCCUAACUUCUAGCAACAGCAAAGAUUUUCCUCCUGCUGAAUAGGUCUUUUAUUGACUAAAACUAUCAAC